ACAGCCCCACAGCCUUCGCAGGGAGAGCAGCGGCUGGCUGCUAGUGAGGCUGGACUGUGGGCUCCCACGGAGGGAGGCUGAGUGAGCACCAGUGCCCGACCUGCCUGGCCCUCCAGAUGGCUGGGCAGGAGGCCAGCAGGCCCCGCGCCUGCUUCCCAGCCAGACAUCCGAGGAUCCUGAACAGUCUCUGCUCUCUUCCCGGUGGAAGCGGCGCAGUGAGGAAUGGCAGGCUUCCCUGGCCUGGGAUCCCACCUCGGGCGGCUGGCAAGGCCGGAGCCAUCCUAAGGCCCUUCUCUUCCAGAAAAAAUACAUACACUAAAACAUCAUGCCUACCAGGGGGAACGUGAAUCUCAAACGCAACAGUAAUUCAGUAAUUCUUAACACCCGUGACCGUCCCACCAUCACCUCCCUCGUUCAAAACUGUAAGAAGCAUUCGACGGAGACUUUGAUUUGACGUAGAAAGAUCGUGCCUGCUAUGGUGAGGCUGCAGGCACGAGCCAUUAAGUAACCGAGUAUUCCUGCUCAGGAACCAAGCGCUGUUUCCUGUGAAGGACCACUCACUCGGUGCUGUGGGCACUCCAGGGCUCAUUACCCCACCCCUCUAUUCUUAUGGACGUUUCAACAUUUCCAUAAUCAAAAGCUACUCUUAAAAAAUGUUUUCCACCAAA